rnacentral:rRNA from 1 species
AUGGCGGCCGCGCCGACGGGGGUAGCGUGCCCGGUCUACCCGUGGCCGAGCGACGCGGCGCAGCGCGGGGCCAAGGUGUUCAUGCAGAGCGACUGCGCGGCGUGCCACUCCGCGCUCCCCUACGCCGGCCUCCGGGGAGCCGCGGUGCCGGGCCAGGACGCGGUGGCCAGGACGGCCGAGAUCCUCGUCGCCGAGGAGGCGCGGCCGGCCGGGAUGACGACGACGCCGCUCCAUGGCGCCGCCGCCGCGCAGACGCCGGACCUCGCCACCGUCGCCACAAGAAUCCAGGGCGGGCUGCGGUGCAACCUGUACUCCGCCGGGACGGCGGCGACGCCCGUUAGGGCGAUGCUCGCCGGCGGCGCCGCGGCGUGCCAGGAGCUCAAGAAGAGCCCCGUCUGGCUGCAGUUUGCCCAGGCUUUCCAGGCAGCUUGA